rnacentral:lncRNA from 1 species
GGGCAUGUUGCAAAAGCCCCAGACAAAAUCAGCCAGGGAAGGCAGGAAAGGCAAAUAAAAUCAGGGAGGAAGGUUUCCCCUUUAUCCCAAGAGUCAAAGCAAACCAUGUGUGCACUAGUACAUGUGUGCAUAUGCAGGUGCACACAUGCUCACCCUCCUAUGCACCCAGUCUCCUAAAUUCAAAGGUAGUUUGUUCAUUUCUCUUUAUUCCACUAGGAUUCAGACAGCCGAAAAACCCAAUAAUUAAGAAGCUUUUGCUCAGUGCGACUGCCAAGCAGACAUCAGGUUGGCUGCAGCACUGUUUGGUGUGGAUAUGGCUCUCCAGUGAUUCAUAACCAGCCCAAUCGGAACAGGGUUCAUCAGUGCCCCAACCAACAAAAACACAACUGCAAUGUUUUCAGUUCUUUCCCUUCUCCUUUAAAGAGAAAUACACACACACGCAGAGGAAAAACAGAGCUAGAGAAUGCUUUCUAACCUGGUACAGCAUAUUACACUAAUUUGGGGAUGCUGUUACUCAUGCAUCAUUCACGACCCUGCCAAACCCAGGAACAAACAGUCCCUACAAUCUCGAUCGGACUGUCUGAGAUGAACUUUGUAGAGUUUUCCAAUCUGAAAGAGCCCAAAUAGGAAACAUCCUUCCCCACUGCUAGCUCCUGUAAUGGGCAGCAUACCAGGCAGUGUCCUUACCCUGAUCUGCUUCUCUAUUGAUAUUUUUGUCCAGCAGUGGCUGCAGGGCAGGUGAAGGGAUCUGCAAAUGUCAUGUGCUGUCAUCUUUCCACUGGCUGGCGUCAGAGCCCUCAGAGGCUCCGUGUUGGGACAGCUUCUCCCAUGGUGACAAAGUCCCUGGAAAUGAGGAGGAAGUUGAACGUGGACAUCACUUCUGCCCUGGAGGGACUACACCAUGAAGGGUGGCAGCUGCUCACCCACCAGUACCCCAAAGCCAUCCUUCCACAGAGUGUCAUGGAAGGGAAGGGUCCCUUGAGAGAGAAGGCUGGGGCUGCCUGGCAAGUUUUUCCCCUUGAAGCCAUUGAAGACCAAGAACCCCAGUUCACACAAUGCUUUUGUUAUCAGUGGACUCCUCCUUGCCAUGCACCAAGCAACCUUGCAUGGCAGCUCUGCAUCUUGACACAAUCAAGUGUGAAGGCCAAGGGACAUCAAGAAAAGUAAGCUGCACGUUCCUCCCCCUUGGCUUGCCUCUCCUAGCCCUGCAAGACACAGAAGUUGAAAGUUAAGCUUUUGAGUUACCAGCAAUUUCCACUUUGGUGCAUUAUUGACUUUGCUGCAGCGCUUUUAUAAGCCUGUUUGUAAGACAAUAGACAAUGGGAGAAGUUGCUGAGGCUCCCAGUGGACAUAUGUUGACAAUAAACCCCUGUAACAGAGGUCA